AUUGAACGCUAGCGGGAUGCCUUACACAUGCAAGUCGAACGGAGUGGCGAACGGGUGAGUAAUGUAUCGGAACGUGCACAGUAGCGGGGGAUAACUACGCGAAAGAGUAGCUAAUACCGCAUACUAUUUGAGCGGCCGAUAUCGGAUUAGCUAGUUGGUGGGGUAACGGGUCACCAAGGCGACGAUCCGUAGCUGGUUUGAGAGGACGACCAGCCAAACUGGGACUGAGACACGGCCCAGACUCCUACGGGAGGCAGCAGUGGGGAAGUUUGGACACUGGGGGAAACCCUGAUCCAGCCAUCCCGCGUGUGCGAUGAAGGCCUUCGGGUUUUAAAGCACUUUUGGCAGGAAAGCGGUACCUGCAGAAUAAGCACCGGCUAACUACGUGCCAGCAGCCGCGGUAAUUC
rnacentral:rRNA from 1 species